AGGGGGAGCGCCAGAUCUUGGGCUGUGUCCCCCAGCACCCUGGGCUCCGGGCCUUGCGCCACUGGAAUCACGCUCCUGGGCCACGCAGCCCCCU
rnacentral:pre_miRNA from 1 species